GCGGGGGUGGCCGAGUGGACAAAGGCGGUAGAGGUUGAGACCUACUGGGCGUAGGCCCUUCGCCGGUUCGAAUCCGGCCCCCCGCA
rnacentral:tRNA from 1 species